rnacentral:rRNA from 1 species
UACGUAGGGCGCAAGCGUUAUCCGGAAUUAUUGGGCGUAAAGAGCUCGUAGGCGGUUUGUCGCGUCUGCCGUGAAAGUCCGGGGCUCAACUCCGGAUCUGCGGUGGGUACGGGCAGACUAGAGUGAUGUAGGGGAGACUGGAAUUCCUGGUGUAGCGGUGAAAUGCGCAGAUAUCAGGAGGAACACCGGUGGCGAAGGCGGUUCUCUGGGCAUGUCCUGACGCUGAGGCGCGAAAGCGUGGGGAGCAAACAGG